GAUGAACGCUGGCGGCGUGCCUAAUACAUGCAAGUCGAGCGAACUGAUUAGAAGCUUGCUUCUAUGACGUUAGCGGCGGACGGGUGAGUAACACGUGGGCAACCUGCCUGUAAGACUGGGAUAACUUCGGGAAACCGAAGCUAAUACCGGAUAGGAUCUUCUCCUUCAUGGGAGAUGAUUGAAUGAUGGUUUCGGCUAUCACUUACAGAUGGGCCCGCGGUGCAUUAGCUAGUUGGUGAGGUAACGGCUCACCAAGGCAACGAUGCAUAGCCGACCUGAGAGGGUGAUCGGCCACACUGGGACUGAGACACGGCCCAAACUCCUACGGGAGGCAGCAGUAGGGAAUCUUCCGCAAUGGACGAAAGUCUGACGGAGCAACGCCGCGUGAGUGAUGAAGGCUUUCGGGUCGUAAAACUCUGUUGUUAGGGAAGAACGAGUACAAGAGUAACUGCUAGUACCUUGACGGUACCUAACCAGAAAGCCACGGCUAACUACGUGCCAGCAGCCGCGGUAAUAC
rnacentral:rRNA from 1 species